rnacentral:rRNA from 1 species
UACGUAGGUGGCAAGCGUUGUCCGGAAUUACUGGGUGUAAAGGGCGUGUAGGCGGGAAGGCAAGUCAGAUGUGAAAUCCCAGGGCUUAACUCUGGAGCUGCAUCUGAAACUGUUUUUCUUGAGUACUGGAGAGGAAAGUGGAAUUCCUAGUGUAGCGGUUAAAUGCGUAGAGAUUAGGAGGAACACCAUUGGCGAAGGCGGCUUUCUGGACAGUAACUGACGCUGAGGCGCGAAAGCGUGGGGAGCAAACAGGAUUAGAUACCCUGGUAGU